AUUGAACGCUGGCGGCAGGCUUAACACAUGCAAGUCGAACGAGUGGCGGACGGGUGAGUAAUGCUUGGGAAUCUAGCUUAUGGAGGGGGAUAACUACGGGAAACUGUAGCUAAUACCGCGUACCAACGCAUGAGCCCAAGUGGGAUUAGCUAGGUGGUGAGGUAAAGGCUCACCAAGCCGACGAUCGCUAGCUGGUCUGAGAGGCUGACCAGCCACACUGGGACUGAGACACGGCCAAGAUUCCUACGGGAGGCAGCAGUGGGGAAUAUUGCGCAAUGGGGGCAACCUGACGCAGCCAUGCCGCGGGAAUGAAGAAGGCCUUCGGGUUGUAAAGUUCUUUCGGUAGCGAGGCGUUAACUACAGAAGAAGCACCGGCUAACUCCGUGCCAGCAGCCGCGGUAAUAC
rnacentral:rRNA from 1 species